AUAGUCUGCACGGACUUGAUAAUCAGAAACCCACAUUACCGCAUAACGUUUACAAGAAGGUAAAUUGCCAUUCACAGAGUUUCAUGUUCCCACCAAAAUCAAGGGGAAGAACCUCCGAUGAAAGUCAUCAUUUACUCAAAAUCACAAUUUCAAUUGAGACAACUGUCGAUAGAGAAGAAGAGAAACACAAAGUUUCAUGAUCCCGCUGGGAUGAGAGAGGCGCAAAAGAUUGAAUCCCCAUCAACACGAACUGAAACUAAUGAAACCCUUGCCUAGAUUCAUAAUUUCAUACAAACAGAGCGAGAGCGAGAGCGAGAGCGAGAUUAAAAAAUGAACUCACGCGUUUGAUGCUCUCUGUUAUCGUUAGAAUUCACGUAUUCCCUGUUAUUGUUAAAAUCCACGUGCUUUGUUCUUCCGUCGUGUUGUCAUGUG
rnacentral:lncRNA from 1 species